GGCUUACAAGACUGCCCAGACAAUGUAGACCAGUCUGCCUUCCAGCACAUCUUUCUUCUCCUCCAGCUGCGGUUCAGGCCACAUUGGCAACAGUAACUACAACACUUUUAUGGACAACUUAAUAUAGCCAAUCAAGCAGCAUGUUUCUGCGAAGUAAAAAAGAAAACAGAAUACCUAGAGGAAUCCCAUACAGACUCAGGGAGAACAUACAAAGCUCCACAUAUACAGUGACUGUAGGUCAGGACUGAACCCUACAGAAGUGGGACAGAGAUUUUACAAUGAACGCAUCAUGCUCCCCAAAGAUUAUAGACCAAAAGUGGUCUAACGUGUAUAUUUCCAAGGUCUAUACAUGCUGUGUGCAUAGAAAAUCUCAGCAUUACGUGCAAAAUAGUAAAAACAUGCAUAUUGAUUUGUUGUGCUUUUUCAGUUUGUCAUGGACUUGUACACCUGAAUUGCAUACACCUGUAUUUGUUUUCUUCUAACUUUGACCUAUUUUUAUAUGUAAAACAUUAUGAACUGAUAAUUAAUGCUUCUCGAAUGCAUAUGUAAUUCUCACACUUGCAUUAAAUCUAAUCCAGGGAAGAGUUAGGCACCAUA